rnacentral:lncRNA from 10 species
AAAAAUUCAGGAGUAUGUAAAAAAAUUAAUAAUCAACUUUGUUAAGAUAUAAUUUAUGUAACAUAAAAUGUACCCAUUAAAGCCUAGGAUUUGAUGAGUUUUGACAAAUGAAUACAGGAAUGAAAACACCACAGUGACUAAGAUACACAACACCAUCCUCCAAGUUUGCUGCUUCUGCUUCCCAGGGAACCACGCAUGCAGCCUUGGCCCAGCAACCUCUAGUCUGCUUUUCAUCGCUACAGAGGAGAUUUGCCAUUUCCAGGCUAUAUGGGAAGCAUGGCUUGGGAGGCCACAGAAACUUACAAUCCUGCAGAACAUGAGAGGGAAGACAGCAUGUCCUACGUGGCUGGAGCAGAAGAGAGAGAGCAAAGGGAAAGGUGCUAUACACUUUCAAACAACCAGGUCUUGUGAGAAUUCCAUCAUGAGACAGGACUGGAGGGAUGGUGCUAAACCAUUAGAAACUGCCCCCAUGAUACCAUUAUCUUCCACCAGGCCCCACCUCCAACACUCAGGAUCACAAUUCAACAUGAGAUUUGGUUGGGAACAUAGAACCAAACCAUAUCAUUCUACCCCAGCCCCUCCCAAAUCUCAUGUCCUUCUUACAUUUCAAAACACAAUCAUGCCUUCCCAGCAGUCUCCCAAAGUCUUAACUCAUUCCAGCAUUAACUCAAACGUCCAAGUCCAAAGUUUCAUCUGAGGCAAAGCAAGUUCCUCCUGCCUAUGAACCUGUAAAAUAAAAAAAAAGUUGGUUUCUUUGAAGAUACAAUGGGGGUACAGGCAUUGUGUGAAUUAUCCCAUUCCAAAAGGAAGAAAUUGCCAAAACAAAGGGGUACAGGUCCCAUGUAAGUCUGAAACCCAGUGGG